GACGCGCCGGCGCUGCGGGGUUGGCACAGUCGCGGGAACAGCGCGGAGCAGUCUGUCAGCACUGCCUUCAAAAUGCACCCAGAAUAGAUUCACAAUUCACAACCGCCACUGUCACCACCUUCGUCCAGGCCCCCAUCAUCUGAGAAGCACCAAAAGAGGCAAACUGAGAUGCAGACAAAUGAUCAUCUGUAUGCUGAUCAUUUUGAAUAGUUUUUUAAAAUAUAUUCUUUCUUUAAAAAGAGACCAAAACCUGUCAAAAAAAUACUACCGUGGAAAGCUCAUAAAUACCGCAGUGGGAAGAACCCUGUGCUUAUCUUCAGUUUAUCGUCAGACAUCUUAGGGAAGUUUGAUAAAGGACACCAGGAGAAUUGAGAAUUAAAUGAAAAGGUAAUCCUUUUAAAGACCUCAGAAGAUGGAUCUGUUUGUUUCAAUCUGCUUUUGAGUUAACAGGUGGCCUUGUUACAGAGUACCACAAUACUUGGAUUUCACUGGCUUCUUGCCUUUCAUCUCAGCUGAAGAAUCAGUGUUUGAAUCGCCAGUGAAAUGUAAAUAUCUGUCUCAGCACCCCAAGAGGAUGGUCUCCAAGUCUGGCCAGAAGGAAAUCUCAGUUGAAAAAAAGCACACCUGGAAUGCAUCACUCUUUAAUUCUCAAAUCCAUAUGAUUGCCCAAAGAAGAGAUGCUAUGGCUCAUCGAGUACUCUCAGCAAGGCUUCAUAAAAUUAAAGGACUAAAAAAUGAAUUAGCUGAUAUGCAUCAUAAAUUGGAAGCCAUCCUUACAGAAAACCAAUUUUUGAAACAACUUCAGCUUAGGCAUUUGAAAGCUAUAGGAAAAUAUGAAAAU
rnacentral:sRNA from 1 species